GACGAACGCUGCCGGCGUGCUUAACACAUGCAAGUCGAACGGUGAAGCUCCAGCUUGCUGGAGUGGAUCAGUGGCGAACGGGUGAGUAACACGUGAGCAACCUGCCCCUGACUCUGGAAUAAGCGCUGGAAACGGCGUCUAAUACUGGAUACGAGAAGGGUCCGCAUGGGCACUUUCUGGAAAGUUUUUCGGUUGGGGAUGGGCUCGCGGCCUAUCAGCUUGUUGGUGAGGUAAUGGCUCACCAAGGCGACGACGGGUAGCCGGCCUGAGAGGGCGACCGGCCACACUGGGACUGAGACACGGCCCAGACUCCUACGGGAGGCAGCAGUGGGGAAUAUUGCACAAUGGGCGAAAGCCUGAUGCAGCGACGCCGCGUGAGGGAUGACGGCCUUCGGGUUGUAAACCUCUUUCAGCAGGGAAGAAGCGAAAGUGACGGUACCUGCAGAAGAAGCACCGGCUAACUACGUG
rnacentral:rRNA from 1 species